rnacentral:ncRNA from 1 species
ACACAGGUGUCCGCCGAAAGGUGGGUGAAAAGGGAAGCGGGUGAAAAUCCUGCGCAAUGCCGUUGCUGUGUUAGCGGAGUGGUUUUUGUGAUCAUUGGGAAGCGCAUCCCGAGAAGAGGAAAACCGCGUUAGACGCUUCAGUCAGAAGACCUGCCUGUGUAU